rnacentral:lncRNA from 1 species
CUAACAUGUUCCAUGAGGAAUACACACGUGUGUCCUAAUAUGUUUCAUGAGGAAUAACUACGGUGAUGAGGAAAACUGUUACAUCUGUGAAACAAAACACAGUCCCAGGGGAGGAGUAAGCAGGGAGCAAGCCAGAGCCCAGGACGUUAAAGACAUAAAAAUGAAAUUUAAAGAAAUAACCUUUCUCUUAGACGUAAACAUGGUUGUAUCAGAUAUACGUAUAAUACUGAGGAUGUCUCCAAGAACUCAGAAUAAUAAAAAAAGAUGGGAAAUGGAAAAGAAAAUACAUAAAUCCAUCCGGGAGGAAUAACCACAAAGAAAGAGUGGAGAAAAUGGGCAUGAGGAAUUCCUUCCAGAGCUAAUGCUGGAACAUUUGCCAUAACUGAGGCCCGAGCUCCCGGAUCCAGAGUCCCUGCCGAGUGCCCUGUGACAGCAACAAUGACUUUAUUAUGACUACUGGGACAUUUGGGCACCAGGACACAAAGAUCCCACAAGCUCCAGGAGAGCAGAGUCGAUGGCACACGAGGUGCGGAGGGUGGUCACACGGGCUCCGGUCCAGACCAUCCGUCCUGGUUUUUCAAUUCUCCUGUGCAUCUCCCUGGCUUGGGCGGCUCCUUGUGACUGUGCCCGAGGCCUCUGUCACAGGCCUGCCAUCACCUGAGAUGGGACAGCCCCCCCUUGAGGAAAGCUGGGGUUAUAAGGAGGCUCGCUCCUGAUUAUUUUCACCUGGAUCAAGUGCCUAAAAUCAGGGGUUCAGGUGAGUGGAUGGCAGGUAAGCCUGUGGAUCAGGGUUCGUGAUGAGAACAGGUGGGGUCGGGGAGAAGGCCCACUGGUCUCCUCUCGGCUCUGAACCUCGCUGUGGGCGGGGAUGACCAGGGUUGGCAGAGGGUUGGGUGGCCAGUGUCUUGAAGGUCCCCGUAAGCUCUAAACACCAUGGCUCCAAAGUGGAGGUGCACACAGAGGGGCAUUUAAAAUUCUGUGUGUGCAGAAAAACAGAUAGGCGUGUGCACAUACACAUGAAGCACACAGCGGGAUGGGUUCUCACAAAGGGACCCUGCAAACGCUUCUGCUUUGAUACCUAAAACUUUUCUAUCUAAGUUUGUUAAAGGACACACUUUUUCAAGGUAAAACUAUGACUCAUAGAAACAUAAAAGGAACCUGUGUCAAGGACGUCAUGUAACAUGUUAAUUAACGAGGGAACCGUGAGACGUGACAGCAGCACAGAGUGAAGCCGGCGAGGCCAUGUGCUCAGGCCUUCAGGAGCGCGAGCUGAGCCGCCACAGGCCACAGAAGGUGCUGGUGUGGCAGGCAUAGUGUCUGCCGGGCUGACGGAUGGCCGCCACGGACGGCGGUGACACUGCUCAAGGACAGAGGCGGGACGGCCAGGUGGCUCCAGCCGGGCCUCCAGCCCCUUUUCGGCUCAUGUGAGUUUUUCACGAGUCACACGUUCUCUCUGAUCCAAGUACUAAGGAACCAGGGGCCAAAAAACAGGACAGUCUCGAGGGGCAG